rnacentral:miRNA from 1 species
GUCAACCACUCGCUGCUACC